CCUCUCCUAAUCCACAGAGGCAAGAUAAACAGCACCUCUAGAUAUUAAGAAGAGUAAAGCAAGUUAUGGGGACCCAGAGGCUAGAGAAGAAUUAUACGAGCUACUGACGAUGCCAAAGAAUUUUGGAAAAUUUUGGAAUUUUCAGGUCAGAAGAAGGAAUGAGUUUCCAUACGAUGUGCUGCUUGGACACUAGAAGUUAUCCUUGUACAGGAACUCUGAGGCGAUUUGAAGGACACAUGCCCCUGCUGAGCCCUUGCUGCUCAGAGAUAAAAUCCCCACAGGUUAUUUAUGCAUAACAUUGCUUCCUGUUUGCAUCAAACAGUCUUGCUUUGGACACUUCCUGAAACUUUAUUAAAAAUUGACUUUUCGAUGUGGCUCUGAGACUGAUCCUCUCAGGAAUGAGUGGUUAGAUGGUCAUUUAAUUUGAAAAGCCUUCAGAAAUUUACAAAGCUAUAAUUUGAUUCUCUUUGAAUGAAAACAAAAGUGUAACGUGAGCUUCGUUGGAUACCAUGACUCAAAUUUGGGCUGAAUACAUCCAUGGGUACUUUCUGAACCCAUUCAACUCCCACUAUCCCUUGUAUUAGAACUUAGUGCACUAAACCAUUUCUUUGAAAACUAGGCAAAAAUGUACCCCAUGUGACUCAGUAUAUGUUCAUUUCACGUCUACUUUCAUUCUUCUUUGUUCACUGGGAAGAAUCACAAAAGAGAUGAGUCAACAGUAAAUGCAGGAGUGUGAAUCUGUGCCCAUUAUCCUCAAGCAUCCAUAGAAACACUUGUAGCUUAGAACUCUUAUCAAAAGGCCUUUUGUUAUUUCAAGGGCAGCGCUAACAUGCACAGUGACUAUAUGUUUUUGAAUGCUUCAAAGAAUCUUUUCUAUUCUCCAGUAAGAAUACAGCUGCCUUAGCAAUUGUAACACCACUUCAUGUAUAAAAUGCUCUCCAAGUGAGUCCACACCAUUAUAUUUAUGUUAAAAUGGUCAACCUUUACAAUAGUACUUUGUAUCAGAGUGAUUACACAUGGCUCUAGAAAGUGAAUUCUUGUUACUUUGUCUUACUGCCAUAAAAAGAACACAGUUCAAUAAAUAGUCCAGUAGGUUUAAGGACAAGUUACAUUGUUAAACUCUUUUGAGGAUGUAGAGAUGUGGAGGCUGGAAAAUGAAUUGUAAAGGCCUUACCCAUGCCUGAGCACAGGGGGGUGGGGUGCUCUUACGGAAAAUGCUGAAGGACAGAGUGGGAGAAAAUUGAAGAAAAAGACACAAUUGGGGAGAAUUUAAUAAGCAGGAGUGAGCUAUAAAUAAAAGUGUUGUUAAUCCUUGCUUUUCGCAGCUCUGCUCUGCCUUGAAGCCCUGGCCUCACCAACUGGUGUGGUCUGGAAAAGUCUUGUCCUUUGAAGUCACUUACUGAGUAGGCUGGGGUACAUUUCUUCAGAGUACAUAGUUAAUUCUGGCUCUGAGCUCCACUGUGAGCUCCUGAGCCCUUGUUAGGGUCUAGUCUCUUUUCUGAGGGUAUGAUCAUGUUCCCCAAAUUCUCAGUUAUAGUCUGGGCUCCAUAACCAAUGGGGCAGCCUCCUGGAACUCCCAUGUUUCUUCCUGCUUGGUUUCUGAAUGUGCUUCUGGCAAGAGACUUUCCUCCUGUAGCCCAACUGCCAGGCCUAGAGCCCCUCAGGAAUUGGCACUGGCAUAUCAUCCAUAGGUUGUCAACUUUCUUGGGCACAGAUGUGGAUGGUAGGCUUACCAUCCUAGCAGUAGGGCCAGUCUAGCUACUUCAUUUGUCCCUUAGCUAUCAUCCCACUUUGAGUUCUCUUUUCAUUCCUUAACCGGCCGUGAAGAAGUGUCUUUCAAAUUAUCCUCACUUCUAUAGGUAGUUAUGCUGGAGUGAGAGUUGCCUUUUUGCCUUUCAGAGUUCCACCAUACAUUUGACAAAUGGUUUCUAUAUAUCCCUAGUCUCCCAUUGCUUUUGAUCCAAGGCCUCAUUAUAUGGAAAAAAAUGGAAGGCUGAUGUCUAUCAGGUUCAUAGUUCUUAUGAACCCAUCUUCCAAAGGAAUCUGGCCUCAGAGAACUAUCAAGCUUACUGACAUCUUAAAACACCAUAUGGAAGAUACUCUCUCUCAGAGUUAGUGUUUGUCCUGCCUGCUAUUGCAUAUACUAUGAAUCAGUGAAUAGGACAUAACACUAUUCUUCUAGUGACAGAAGACACAGGUUUGUGUACAAGGGAUGUAAGUUGAAGUGGUUCCUUACAUGAAGCUCCUAAUGAUAUACCACCUACACCUAGGUUUCAUCUAAUCUCUGUAACUCUGGGCUCACUUGACUUAGAGAUUUCAGAUCCUAAGAGACCUAUGUGUCCAUCAGAAACACAAGGGUAUUUCCACCAAAUUGAAAACUGAGACUAUCACCUGCCUAUCUGGGCUCUUUUUUUUUUUUUUUCAUGGUUUUUUCCCCCAGUUUUAUUGAGUUAUAAUUAACAUAUAAUAUUAUGUAAGUUUAAGGUGUACAAUGUAAUGAUUUGAUAUAUAUACAUAUAUAUGUUGUAAAAUGAUUACCACAAUAAAGUUAAUUAACACCUUUACCACCUCACAUAGCUACUAUUUAUGUGUGUGUGUGUGUGUGUGUGUGUGUGGUGAGAACUUUUAAGAUUUAGCCUUUUAGCAACUCUGGUCACCAUACUUUACAUUAAAUCCCAAGAACUUACUUCUUUUAUAAUUGGAAGUCGGUACCCUUUGGCCACUUUCACCCAUAUCCCCCUCACGUCCACCCCUGGCAACGAUCAACAUACUCUCUGUUUCUGUGAGUUCAGUUUUUUAGAUUCCACAUGUAAGUGAGAGCCUACACUAUUUGUUUUUCUUUGCCUGACAUAUUUCGCUUAGCAUAAUGUUCUCAAGGUUCACCCAUGUCCAUGGAUGAAUAAUAUUCCUGUGUGUGUGUGUGUGUGUGUGUGUGUGUGUGUGUGUAUCACAUUUUCUUUAUCCGUUCAUUUGUCAACAGAUACUUAGAUUGUUUCCAUGUCUCAGAUCUUGUAAACAAUGUUUUAAUAAACAUAAGUGCAGAUAUUUCCUCAAGUAGUGAUUUCAUUUCUUUUGGUUAUAUACCCAGAACUGGGAUUGCAAGAUAAUAUGGUAGUUCUAUUUUUAAUUUUUUAGGGACCGCCAUACUGUUUUCCACAGUGACCACCCAAUUUACAUUCACCAAGGUGCAAAAAGUUUCCCUUUUCUCUACAUUCACCCCAACACUUGUUUUCUCUUGUCUUUUUUUGAGAAGAGCUAAUCUAACAGGUGUGAGGUGAUAUCUC